rnacentral:lncRNA from 1 species
GAAAAUUUUUAGCUCUGCAAAAGACAGAUAAUAGACAGAAUAGCCUGAUCAAACUUCUUCCUUAUGUUAAGAAGCUUUCUUAAGCAGGUUCUUGAAGUUCAAGGACUUCAGUCUUUUCCUUGUCUAUAACAAGUGUUAUCUUUUUGUCUGUAGUGAUAACAUGCUAUCUGAACUUACUGUGAACCCAUUUGAUAUUUUAUUUUUUGAACUUACAGUGACUUGAACAACCAUGAAUCUAUAGGGGUGUUCAAGAAAUCAUCAAAAAGUUAAAGAACUUUGUUUAAGCUGGAUCACUUGCAGCUUUACGGAAAAACAAAUGCUAGAACACAAGAAGAAGAAUACAGGCUACACAUAUAGAAUUUCUUGAAACUUAUCGUGACUAUAACUUGAUACUGUGUAAAAAAUUAACUAAUCUUUUGAGUACGUAACAUACAUUUUGCUUUUGGAUUUAGAUUACUAGUUUAAUUUGUUCCAUAUUUUAGAUUAUGUGAUUAUUAAUGAAUGAUUUUAUUUUAUGAUGUGUGUAUAAUUGUUUAUUGUAGUUUAUUAUGUAUGUAAAUACUAAUUUACAAUACGUCGCAAUAGAUGUUGUUUAAAACGUCGCAAUAGAUGCUAUUGCAAUGGUUUAAUGUCAGAAAUAGCUUCUAUUGCAACGGUUAGUAACUUUGCAGUAGAUGAAAAUAGGCAUCUCAAUAAUUCAAAAAAUAACCGUCACCACAGGUCAAGCUAUAUCGACGGUUAUAACCGUUGUAAUAGAUGAAAAUAGGUAUCUCAAUAAGUGAAUAAAUAAUCGUCACCAUAGGUCAAGCUAUGGAGACUGUUGUAACCGUUGCAAUAGAUAAAAAUAGGCAUCUCGAUAAGUCAAAAAAAUCCAUCACCAUAGGUCAAGGUAUGGAGAUGGUUGUCUGAAACCGUAACCAUAGCUUGACCUAUGGCGACGGUUGAGACAACCAUCGCAUAAAUCAUUGCCAUAGACCUAUCACAAUUCCCACCUAUAGGACACUUGCUGAACCGUUGCGGUAGAUCUAUGGUAACAGUUUUUUUGUCUAUUGCAACUGUCACCAUAGGGGUAAUUUAUGGUAGUGUCUAUGGCCUAGCAAUUCUUUCAACUCUAACACUAGUGGUUCUUCAAUGGAUGAUUUUGUUGGUGGUGAUGGCCUAUUCCUUAAAUCCAGGAGUAAAUUCUUCAGAUCAAAUAAAUAUGAACCCAUACCAGUCAAUGCACACACCAUUUCCUCAUACUCCUCAUUUCCUUUAUUGUUGAAAUUCAUCAAUACUGCUUCCAAAGUUUCAACAAGAAAUCUCUAUUUAACAGGCACUACUAUUUCACCUUUUUCCAUACUAUCAAUCACAAAAACAACAUUUACCUCUUUUCAUUGAAUGACAGACAUCAAUGUUUAUCUCUUUAUAAUUGAGCCUAAAUUUUAGCUCAUUUCUCUCCAUAUCCACCAACACUCUUCCGGUGGCAAGAAAUGGUCUACCUAAUAUUAUGGGCACCUCAAGG